rnacentral:rRNA from 1 species
GCAUUAAUGUCUUGUAAUUGGAAUGAGUAGAAUUUAAAUCCCUUUACUAGUAUCAAUUGGAGGGCAAGUCUGGUGCCAGCAGCCGCGGUAAUUCCAGCUCCAAUAGCGUAUAUUAAAGUUGUUGCGGUUAAAAAGCUCGUAGUUGGAUUUCUGCUGAGGACGACCGGUCU